UAUAAUUUUCAAAAUAUAUCAAAAAUGUCGAUCAACAUGAAAACUCUAACCCAAGCCUUCGCGAAAGCCUCAGCUAAAGCCUCAGCGGUGAUCGAAAAAACCGUUCAAACCACCGUACAAGAAGUCACCGGUUUACCUAGAGCUUUACAAGAUUACGAUCUCUUAGAUCAGAUCGGGUCAGCUGGGCCGGGCCUAGCUUGGAAGCUGUACUCAGCC
rnacentral:lncRNA from 1 species